GACAGAGGCCUCAAGCGUUAUUCGGAAUCACUGGGCUUAAAGCGCGUGUAGGCGGAUGGGAGCGUCGGAACCUGAAAGCCCCCGGCUCAACCGGGGAAGUGGGGCCGAAACGACCCGUCUGGAGGGACGUAGGGGGAUCUGGAAGCUUCCGGUGGAGCGGUGAAAUGCGUUGAGAUCGGAAGGAACGCCCGUGGCGAAAGCGAGAUCCUGGACGUCUUCUGACGCUGAGACGCGAAAGCUAGGGGAGCAAACGGG
rnacentral:rRNA from 1 species